GACAUGUGACAAACAAGCUGACAUGCAGCCCGUGCUGACCCAGACGGUACUAACAAUAACACCCGGGCUGCCACACUCAGGCCUGCCCCUCCCUCCAACCAAGACCGUGUCAAGUGGAAACAUGUCUCUGAGACGCGGCACAGACAAUACCUCUGGCUUUAAGGACCAUCACACGGAGCCAAUUCCUUAAACAACUGUACAGCGUCACAAGGAAGGGACGGAGGCCAGGAAAAAACUACUACACUUGUCUAAUUAUUUCAGCGCAGCCCCAAUGCAACGUUACCUUGACCACUUUGACCCUUGGCGUAAAUGCAGAUUUGCAGUUCCCUAACAUAGCUGUAGCCCACAGGCCCUGAAUUAUGAAAAAAGCCUUCAAUUGCAUCACAAUGCAGAGUUUGAAGCACUUCCUGACCUUUCCCCUAGUGGGCAGAAGUAUCUACUUUGCAGAAGAACUAAUGUUGUGACUGGAAGGCUGGAAGGAAAGGCUGGGCUCUGCAGUGCAGCAAGGAGGGAGACAUAGAGUGACUGAAGUCCAAGGUCCAGUGGUGAAAUGAAAAGACCGUCAGCAGAUAUUUGACCCAAGAAGGAGGCAUCCGGAUGGAAGUACUGUGAGUUCUUAUGAGGUCAGAUUUUCUAAGAACAUAUUGGAAGGGGAGAUAUACUUCACAUCACUUCUCUACUUGGAACUUGCUUCUUAGCACCCUGUUCUCCUUCCCAUUCUGCCAUGGGCCUCUGCCCCUCCUCACCGAUCACCACUGGGAACUCCCAGUCAACCCCCUUUAAUGGGUUCCUCUCCCUUCUCAUAGGAUCAGACAAAAGGUUGAUGUGGGCCUGACCACACCUCAGUCAAGUGUGUGGACCUUCUAUUCUACAUUGUGUCAGCACAAAGGAGUAGAGGUAUUUUGGUCUUGUCUGAAAACUAGGGUAAUUCAAGAAACAAACAACGUAUUUUCCUAUUACAAAACUCAAGUCUGUACACUGCUCAUGAUUCUUUCUAUGGCCUAAGGGAGAAAUAUCAAAUAAGUAGAUGUUUCUCAUGGGGUUUCCAUCAUGGGCACAUGCGUAUUCCCGAAGAGGCUCUCACUUCUUCAAAUGCCUCAUUCUUCCCACUCUGCAGAGCAAUGACCCCAAACUGAAAAAUCUAACUCACUACCCAAAACUGAUCCAGAAUCCAUCACCUUCCCAGUGAUACAUUUCUCUAAGUCUGGGUCAGUCAGCCUAAGGAAACUCAGAGGCACUUCAUCAGCAAUGGGGGAACAUCCUGAUUCCAGUGAAGUCUGGACCCCAGAGUAGGAGAGUGCUGUGGCUCCAAGCAGGAUUUCUGCACCCAGGUGACCAGGGCUUGAAUAUGACUCUGAUUUUCCCAGCUGUGUGACUUUUGUCACGAUUCUCUUUUUUUUAAUGUUCAUUUAUUUUUGAAGGAGAAAUAGAGCACGCGAGAGCUGGGGGUGUGGUGGACAGAGAGGGGGAGGACAGAGGAUCCAUAGCAGGCUCUAAUGUGGGGCUCAAAUCCGCAAACCAUGAGAUCAUCACUUGAGCUGAAACCAAGAGUCAGACGUUUAAUUGACUGGGCCACCUAGGUACCCCUGGUCAUGUUUCUUAACCUGUCUACACCUCAGCCUCCUUAUUUGUGAUAUGAUGAUAAUAACAGUGAUACUUUGCAAGUAGUGAGGCUUUAAAGAGUUAACACAUUAAUAGAACAGAGCUUAGCAAAGAAAAAGUGCUCAAUAAAUUUUAGCUACCUCUAUAUAUACAUUUCCCCAUUAAUGUAGACAUGUCUAUCACUUUUUCUGUUUAGCAAGUAAUUGUUGAAGCAGACAUAAACACAUUCACAGGCAUCUUCUGAGAACAAAUACUAAUUCCCAGAGAUAGCACAAUCUGGAAACAUUUUUCUGAAUGACUCAGGAGGAAAUCUCAAAGUGGAGUCAGUACAUAAAGUUCACUCCUUAUGAACCCUCAACUUACAGGGGUCCAUUAGGUGCAAAUAGAACUUUUCCUGCUCUCUGCAUUUUGGCUGGAGUCCCUAAGGUGACAACAGUAAAUAGCAAGCACCUCCUUCCUCAGUUCUAUAGGGACCUACUGGAUACCAAAACUCACUAAAAGGUAGCCCACCUGGUCUUUCACACCCAGACUAUAUAAAAGGAGACUAAGCCACACUUGCUAAAUGCCUGGAGAGACUAGAAAGGGACAUGAAGGGUGCUUUGUGUACUGAUAAUAUUCAGCUUCUUGAUCUGGUGCUUGAAUCUUGAAAUUCUCAAAGGGAGCUCAUCGAAGGGAAUUCCUAGGAAUAGAGAUCACUUGGUUAUUUUUAUUUUGCUUUGAAAGUUUGAGGACAUAGUAGUUGAACAGAGACCACAGCCCGCCUCAUGUGCAGACCAUUUCUGAAGGCAGGAGUCUGCCUGAAGCUGCCCAAGAGAGCAGGCAAAGACAGCAGCAGCAGGGGAGCAUGUUCUCAUGAUGGUGGAGCAUGACUGUAUGAGUCCUCAUGAGCCUUGUGGGCACCAUGAAAUAUGUAUUGAGACAUCUUAAAAGGACCCCACCCUACAAGGUGGCCUGCUAGAGCAAGGAGACUCCCAUAUGGGAGGAGACUCCUCCCAUAAGAGGCGGGAGAUAAGACCACUGGGACAGGAGUUGAGAUGGAAGGAAGAAAGUGGGUCACAAGAGGUCAGCUGAAGAAUAUAUCACCCAUUUCAGGAACCAGUACAGCGCAAAAGUCUCAAAGUGGAGGAUCUACAGAUGCACAUCGUGAAAAAAGGUAUCAAAGGGCCCAGCACCUUAGCAGUGCCAGCCAAGAGAAAAUCAAAAAGAGCCCCAAUUACAUAAAAGGCUAUUUGCCCUUCUUUCCCUUUUGCCUAACUCCUUAACCUGGAGAAACCAAAAACAGCAAAGAAAGUGGAGGAGGGGGAGUGAGUCAGAAAGAAUAUUGCUUAAGCAGACUCUAAGAUCAGACCAUCCUUCCCCAUUUCAGGAUCCCCAGUCAAUGGUCAGGCCUAUGCUAUGGAAACAAGAGAAGUUUUGAAUUGGAUCUGAGAUCCAAGAUUUGAUUUAGACUCUAUUGAGUCUUUUAAUACUUGAGGAGUCACAAUUAUCAAAUUAAGAUUUGUUUGUUUUUUUAAUGUGAAAAGGACCAGACUUUAGAAGGGGACAGGGGAAGAAAACUGAGCAGCAUACAUUUUCAAGGCGGUCGUGGUGGCAAUAAUUUGGCAGGUUCCUGUGCGUAGCUGUUGGGCAAUGCAUUCACAAUACGUUAGUCAAAACAAAACAAAACAUAUGCCAAGCAAAAUUUCAUCAGCCCUGCCCUCCACCGACAGAGUUCUGAGUUGUUGCUUGCACAGGCUUGUCAUAAAUUGACCUGAUCCUUGGCAAAAAGGUCUUUGUCUGUAAGACUGUUAUGAAGGACCUAGUUCAUUCCUUUCUUUUACUCCCUUUUCCUCCAGCCUGCUGGGCAGAGGAAAGUAUACCCUUCAAUCACUCCUUGAACCCACAAAGACCUACCCAUAGGUCUCAAUUUCUCUCUAGGGAGAGAGAAGUGGCAUGUUUAUUUUUCUGGCCACAAAGACUUUGGGUAUUUAAUGCUGGGUGGAGAAGGAGAGGUACAAUUUAGUUUGGAGAAAAGUAAUUUAAGGACCUUUCCCAAGAAAUAAAAACUUUCUCAGAAGGAAGCAAAUUUAGAAAUCCAAAUGACUUCAAAGAGGGCUCAAGAAUGGACUGGAAUGAUCCCUCCUUUCUCAAAACAAUAAAACAAAUCACAACAAAUCACAACAAAAAAACCCAUACCAUGCCAGUAAACAUCAAGAACUCAGGGAUGUAUGUAGACAUCCCCUUUUCUCCUUCUUUCCUCUUUUCUAUUCACUUCACUCUCAUCCAGGAUGAACUCAAAUUGUUUCUCCGUCAUUUAUCCCACCUUGUUAUUGGUUCCACCAUUCUUUGAAAGCGAGCCACUUGGUCAGCCAUAUCUUCCUUUCACAGAGACUCAGGGAAGCAAAUAAAAAUUGCAUGUGGAAACCAAAAGAGCCCAGAGGAAAGUGCUGUUCAUUUUCUUCUGAUAAUCUACUCUCCUGAAAGCUUACAGUUUGGUAGAAAUUCUGAAUUUUCUUGAAGUAACUAGAGGUAGCACAGCUGGAAUAGCAAUAUCUAAAUAAAAAUGCUGCCGACCUGCUGAUAUUAACUAGUCUAAAAAUACCAUGAAGCAUGUGGUUUUCGUUACAGCAACAAAGCAACUAUAGUAUGACAAGCAGCCUGCCUUCCAAGAUUACCCUCAUUUACAUGAUAUUACGUUACACGUGGAGCUGGACUCUUGGGCUUAAAGAAAAACAAGAGUUCCACGGCAAGAGGUGAAAUGAAGAGUCAGGCACUCCGCCAGAGGUUUGAGAUUACCCAGAAAUGACUGAGCUCACAGUCACAUGGCCUCCCUCUGCUCAGCACUCUAGCCUCACGUCAUUUAUUCCAUUCAUUUGGAACUUCUCACACGUGGCUCUUAUCACAGGCCAUUGUAUGUAAGAUCGGGGCAGAGACUACCUCUUGAUCAAAACCACAUAGAACCUUCCACAUAGUCUUCAGCACCCAUGGAGCUCACGGGCAGUGAUGCCAUGUAGUUAGAUGCAAUAUGGGUGGAAGGAACACAGACUCUGGUGCCCCAGAGCUGAGUCUCAAGCCUAGACGGCCUCUUUAAAGCUGUUUAACCUUCGGCAAGUUUUCCACUUCCCCAAGUCUCAGUUUGCUCAUAAAAAGAAUAUUAGUAUAAAAGUGGAUUAAUGCUAUUAUAUUCAGACGUAAGAUUCAUCGCAUGCUUAUAACACACCAUGGGUUCCACUUCACGUUAUCACGUGCACUAUUUUAUUGACCAUCCACAGUCCUCUCACGAGGAAAGUAGUAGUAUUAACCCCAUUUAGAGAUAAAGAUACUGUGGGCCAAGGAAAUUACAAAACUUGCCAAGAUGACACGAUAAGUAAGUAGCUGAUUCAGACCCAAGUCUGACUCAUGUCAAAGCUUGUGCUCUCAUCCACAGAGUUUAAAGUCAACACCUAACAUGACUACACCAGGCAAGGAGCAAAGUGGUUAAAGCAGAGACUCUGGUCUCUACCAGUUCCUUGAUGGUACUUGUCUGAACUUCAGUUUUCUCACCUGUGAAACGGGGACAACAGGACCUACAUCUGAGUAUGGCUGUAAGGAUAAAAUGACUUAAUACGCAUAUGGCUAUGGGAUAAUUCCCAGUACAUAGAGGUGACUCUGCUAUGUUUACUGUUUUUAUUUUGAUAAACCACUGACAUAUCAGUGAUGACGGGGGCUGAAAUAAGAGAAUAAGAAAGAAUAAACAUGGGAGGCCACCAGAUGACUGCUCUGUGGCACUUGUAAAACCCCCAUGGGAAACUUGCAGAGAUGACUAGGAACAAUUUCAAGGGUGCUGAGUUCAUACUUAUGCAGAAGGAGGGAUCUCAGAGAUAUUAACAUUUUACCAUAUUUAUAGGAUUCUAGCUGGUACAACCAAGAGACAUCUAGAAAGAAAUGUAAUGCUAAGCAGAUGUAUACUUCACAUAUGGCCUCACAGUUGAAGUCUGGAGAGUCAGGCUAGAGCAGUGCCCUGAUGGCUUGGUCCCGGCUGCACCCCUGGAGGUACCGCUCCAGCCAUGAUGUCACUAUGUGAAGUCACGUGGUGAUCAUGAAGCUCACAUGCCAGUUGAUGCACCGUGAGGGAGCUGACUUGCCCUGUUCGUCAACCCCAUAAAAUCAUGUUCAGAUCACACCCAUUUUGGAAUGCUAGAAGGAUACCUAGUGGGAGGCUUCCAUGAUGAUAAGAUGUUGUACCAAAACUGACCUGGGAAUUUCGUAACAAACCCAUGCAAACAAGAAAAACAAAUUCUCUCUAAGAUGUGAGGUGAGGUGGGAUUCAAUGAUCAAGGAGAAAAUGCAAACCACUUCCAAAUAAUUAUGGAACUGCUGUCAACAUUAAAGCUGUGGAAACUGAUCAACUCUCAUUUCCCAAAUAAGAUCUGAAGGAAGAGCUUUUUAGUCUCAAGAUGUAACUGAGGGACCAAGAAAAAAACCCUUACGGCACAAAGCCAGAAACAACUUCAUCUUGGAGUGUGUUCCUGGAUUUUGGUUCCACGUGUGAACUUCUGGCUGUAACAAAAAUGAUAAGCAAGUAAGUAAGCAUUUUACCUUUUUCCAACUCUUUAUUGCACAAUUAGAUUUAACUUCAGGUCUAUUAUUUUAGUUUUAAUAUCCAUCACCAGCUAACUCACAGCGUCCUGGAUAUAAAGCCUUAUAUUACCAAAAAAAAAAAAAAAAAAAAAAAGAAAAAGUCUAAAUAAGAGGAUGGCAAGGCUGCUUAUGGGAAAGGCCCUCAGCCUUAGGAGGCAAUAUGUAGAAAUGACCAAAGACAAUGGAAAAAAAAAACAAAACAGGAAUAUAAAAUCCGGCCAUACUGCGUUUUAUGUCUCCUGACUCAGUGAUUUUAAAUUAUCGCUUUACUUUGGCAAUACUAUAAAAGUAAUGCUGAUAAGCUAGUUACUAAAAUCUGGACAUGACUUUAAUAGAUCAAGGAAAUAACAAAAUUUUAUUUUUAAAGCUAUUGAUGAAACUUCUUUUAAGGAGAAAGCACCUUUGGCUUAGCAAAAUGCCUUGAAGAGCCAUUUGGUUGUGGAAAAGUAGGCUGUUGAAAUAUUGUUCAGAAGGAAGACCAUUAAGCCCAAGAAAAGUAUAUUUUUGUACCCAAUAUUAUAAGAAAAAAUAAGUUUCCAAGGGCACACUGAGAUGGUAGGGACAGAAUAAGUUGAUAGAAGAAAUAGGUAGGUAAAGACGCAAGGCAGGAAGGAGAGGGUCCAGGAGAGGAGAGCUCAAGAGAAAUUCUCACACUGGUGGAAAGAGCUGGGAAUAUCUCAAUCUAGAAAUCCAUAGAGAUAUCUCAUAUGUAGUUUUAAAGAAGUUGCUGUGUUCUGAGGCAAUGCAAUCCCCGCUGUCUCAAACUCUUUGUAAAAAUGGGCUAUACACAAACGGCAUCAAAGAAAAAAAUAACUGUGUUUGAGAUUGAGGAAAGAAAAACCACAGGAGGCAAGUUAGAAGUAAGAUCAAGAAUUUAGUAGAAGCAGAAAAGCUAGAAGAGUUACCCCACCCCACCCCAGCCCCUGAGAAUUUCCAUAGAGAGUGAGUAGAAAUGUAUGCUGGAUUUCCCUUUACGUGCAUGUGAUGGGGGUCUCAAGCCAUUUUUUUAUGUGAGUGCUAAUGGGUAGGGUGAUCUAUAAGCCUGGCAGAAUUGGGGAACACACAGACAGACGGUAUCUGGAUUACAUUCAAUAAGUGUCAUCUCGCCUAAUGCAAAAAUCUCCCUUAUUAAAGAUUAGGUAGCAUCACUACUGUCCCUGCAGCUGGGGCCAUUACCAAAAUAUUCUGAUAAUCAUUAGGAAAGCAGCUGGUGAAAUUCAAAUAUAGCCCUUACAGCUAGAAAAAUAGUUCUAUCUCAAAAGUGAUUACUCAGGAUACAGCUGCCAAAGCAGGAUUUCUUUAUGUACAGAGAAAACUUUCCUAUGAGCUUUUGGGGUGGCAAUGGAACGAGCAAUAAAUCUAUGGGCCUGGAAAUCUGCACGACUGUGACAAAGACAUGAUUUUAAGGGAAGAGUCAAGUUGUUCCUCUGGAAGAAGGAUGAACUUUCUACUCUGGAAGUGAUGUCCUCUGAAGUCAGUGUAUCUUAAAGAUCUGAGAGGCACUAUUAGACGUACCUAGCUACAGAUCUUACGUUGCUGAAAGAGGGUAUUCUCUUAAGAUUUCUACACCCACGAUGGCAAGUAUUAUAGAAAGUUCUGACAGUAACUGUGUGUCAAAUUGUUCCGCCAUGGUCUACUGCAGACCAUUGUAAAGAAUUGCUUUUCAAUAUGGACCUCCCCAUCGCUUUCCUCUUCAAGUUCUUCUGGGGGUCAUUCUACUUGUAAUCUGCCCUUACUUCCUGUUCUCUCCUGAACUGUUCUUUCAAAGGCCAAUGGUGGCCCCGCUAAGUGAGAACUGAGCAACCUCUCUGCAGGCUGAGGCCUGCCUUACCUCCCUACCUUGCUUUACCACCUAAGGUAAAGUAAGAAUGACACAGGGCUGAACUGACCAGUCUUGAGAACUGUGAAGGCUCCGUGGGAUCUCUCCUAUUCAUUUUUAUUUACUGCCAUUGACAAAGCUCCUUCCUUUGACCAGUUCUGAGGCAGGCUCCUGUAAGUCCAAUCUCUAUCCUUGGCUCACUUAGCCCAGUUUUAACAAGAAACCUACCGUGUCAGUUAAGUAAAAAUCCCUCACUCUUAGUAUCUGAUCACCCUUGAGGUCUGAUCAAAUUCCUCACCCCACACCCUCGAUGUCUGAUCACACUAGUCUGCCUUCAGUCAGAGUCCCGUCACAUCAGUUUGGCCAGACCGCCCUAGCCUUGAUGUUUUCUCUCGGUAAUUUUCUAUCCACUGACCCCUACUCUGCUCCUUGGCUAUACAUUUCUACUUUUCCUUGUGGUAUUUGGAAUUGAACUUGAUCUCUCUCUCCUACUGUGAAACUCCCAUUGCAACAGUUUCUCUUAAUAAAGCCAUCCUUUUGGUCUUUAACAAGUAUCUGAAUAAUUUUUCUUUAGCACCAACCAUCCGGGCUGCUUCCAUGGCACACUUCUGGAAAAGCCGCCUUUGCUCCCUUCUCAGACCUCUCAGGACCCUGAACUCCAGAUCCACUCUCCCUGAUUUUUGCCUCCAAAUCCCUUCUCCAUCUCAUUGCUAGUCGCUUAGAUCAGGCACUGUUGGCUCUCCUCUGACCAUGUGAUCACUCUUAUCUCUGGCCUUCUAAUGGUUUCACUGCUUGUUGCCAGAUCAUUCCCACCUCCCCUGAUACCCCCCCACACACAUACACACACCAUACUUCCUCCACACUGAUGGUCACAGCAACACAAACACAGCUCUGACCUUGCUCCCUGAUGUAAAUCCUUCAGUGUCUCUCCACAUACACCAAGAUACAACUCUGCGUCUAAUUCUCCAAACAUUUUUUUUGCUGUCCCCCUUGCUCAAAAAGGUCACUGCUGUUUCACACUCCUGGACCUGAUGCUUCCCCUCCUGGAACUAUCCAUUCUUCUCCCUCUGUCUUUCUAAAUGUACUUCUAAAGUCAGUGUAGCCAUCACCUCCUCCAGGAAGCCUUCCCUAACCCUGCCCAGUGAGAAGUGGGGUCCCUCCUGUGCCUGAAAGAAUCCUAAAGAGGACUUGGUAGGCUUGGUGAACUGAGCCCCUCACACAUACAUCUCACAGAAAUGAGAAGUGAGUACGAUAAUGGCAACGUGUGCAUUCUCACCAGGGCCACACCGUUCAAAAAUCAGACAGGGAGGGAGUUGGUGGACGUGGAUUCCCAACGUUCCCCUUAACUUAUGGACACCUACUCACAUUGGUGGUGUUAUGGUGACGUUCCGUAAGGUUACGGUGAGUCUCGAGUCGUGCCCUACAGGCCUCAUAGAACCCUGACCACAUCAACGCAAAAGUCCAACAUUAUUAAUUUAUGUGACUUGGAAAAACAGCCUGUACCAGAACGUGCCUCCUGCAUCAUCACCCUAGUUCGUCCAGCACAGCGCCACCACCCUGCCUCCUGCACAGGCCCACGGCGCAUGCCCGUGGUGCUGCGGCUGCGCAGUGGGGAUCACCGCGCGGGCGGGUAGCACCCGUUUUGCCUCCAUUAUCAUGGGAGCUAAAAGGAACUGAAAACAGCAGGUUGGCCAGAGGCUAUGGCAGUGUUCUCAUGGAAUCCUAAUUAACGUGUCAGAGACGCAUUAAUCUAUGAGAGCCUUUCGUGGCCUGAGAGUUGUAGUAGUUGCCUUUCUCGUCAAUCAAGCUGCGAAUUCCUUGAGAGCAGAGGCCAUAUCUCCUUCAGCUGUGUAUCUCAAGGAAUUCCGCUUGGUAAGCAGUCUAUAAACUUUGUGUGGAGGGAUGAAUAAAGCUGAACUAAGAAUUCCAUGAGGACAGGGUCCAUGCCGCGCAUCUUCCUGGCACUUAACGCAGUGCCAACACAAUACGUCAGAUGUUCUCCAUUAGGAGUCUCCAAAGGGAACCCUGAAUACCAGGAUGGUACUUGAUUAUCACCGGCUACAGAUUCUCAAUAGCCCUAGUUUUCCGGGUGUGAUCUUUGAUGCAAACCAGCAUCAUCAACCAGGAACAGAGCUGGACACAGGCCAGCUUUCUGCGGUAUUUCCUCAUACAGCUCUCCCCUCCAUGCCUUUGUUCCUAGCUGUUUUGCUGAUCGAAUGGAGAGAGAGAGACCUCGUGAGCUGGUAUGACUCUGACAGCUUGACUUCUGGCAGCUGCUGGACCUCAGAGCAUAAUUUCCUCCCUCGUGGGUUAUCAGAAUCAAACACCCCUGGCUAAUCAGGAUUUCAUAGGAUGCAGAUAUCCAGUUUAAUUUAAGAGGAUUAUUCCAAAACAGCUCCGAGUAGGGCAUUUGGACUUUGAGCCCCCUAACCAUUCGCUCACACAGGCAUCAGAGGCGGCUGGAAUCUUGAACUUUUUCCAGGAAAGGGAAGAGAUUUCAAUAUAAAAGAGCAGUGGAUGUCUUCAGACAGUCUUAGCCCCAGCACUGGGAAAGGUACCUAAUCCCCCUGGGCUUUUAUUUCCUUGUAUGUUUAAAAAAAGAGGAUUUGACCAGAUGACCUCUCCAAUCUCUUCUAGCCCUGAAAUUCUCUGACUGUAAUCUCUAAGGCCUCUUCUAGCUGUAAAAUUUGGGAACUGAAUAAUUCAAACUCCUCUCGGCCACAAGCAUCAAGAACGCUGAAGAGCUCCGUAUCUAUUCCCUCGCUGCCUCAGUUUGGUACUGAAAGAGGUGGCAAAGGUCAUAUUUAUACAAAGGACUUCCCAUGUGCUACUCACUGAGUUUCAACUUUAUUCUGAAAAGUCUGCAGCAUACAGCCUCACCCCCCAUACUGUGAAGACAAAAUUGUUUACAAAAUCCCACGACUCAGAGAUCUAACGCUAGUUCUACAGAUGGAAGCAUAUAUACUAAUAUCAUUCCUAAGAACAGUGUGCCUGGGAAAAAGGCUCUAGGGUCACAUAAAGUUCCAAAACACCGUCCUUGGUCCCCUCUCAUUGAUGGAUCACCUUACAGAAGAGCAUAUUGGAGCGUAACACGCCCUGCACUGGAGAAAACUUCUUGAACUUUGCUUGCCUUACCAUUUCCCAACAUUUGACCACCGAAGUCUAUUUAUUUUCCCUCUGAAACAUUUAUUAUCAUUUUCUAAACUAGACCUCCACAAAACCUACGUAGGAAAUGCUGCUCUGAGCAUCACCUCCCACUUGGUAGAUGCAGGGCGUUCCUUCAACCGGCAAAUUCUUCAGCCCCACCCCCUGACUUACUGAAUCAGCAUCUUUGGAAAUGGAGUCCGGAUAUAUCAGCCUUCCCAAGCUCCCCAGUGGGAGCUGGAAUUGUCCCCAGUGGGACAAUGCUGUAGUGCCGCUGCACCUCAUUGUCAUCAAGAAUAAAAGACUCUUGGGGUGCCUGGGUGGCUCAGUCAGAUAGGUCUAAAUAUAACAACAUUCUGGGAAAUUUUGCCUCAGCCCUGUCCUCUGAGAUCAUUAGCAAGAAGUGUGUUCACCAUGAUUCCAGUUCAGCAAAGAAGGCUCAUCAGAAGAAGGAAGCACACCCCCCAGGUGAGACUCCAUCUCAGAGAGAAGAUACCCAAGGUUUGGAGGGCAGCAUAUCCAGUCUGCUCCACGUUACCCUUUUCUUUAAGAUGACGAAACAGACACAUGGACGGGUUAUAUGACGUGGUCCAAAUUACACAAGCAAAAGUGGUGUUCCCAAUUCAUUGGAUCCCUGAGCCUGGGUUCUGAGAUCUUAUACCAUCAGGCCGUCAGCUGAUGGCCAUCAGCUUCACAUCACAGCCACCAGCUUCAUGACCCAGCUCCUCUCCAAACUCCAGAUUUCUCAUCUGUUAGGUGAUUCUCGCUCAUGCCUUUCUGAGAAAAUGUCAUGAAUAUUUCAUCAAACGUGAGAGACAAGAAUGCCAUCACUGUGAGCAUAUUUUUUUAUUAUAUUAUUUUGUUACGCAGCUGCUAUUGAAUUCUUUCUGAUAGAGCACCUACUAUUAUUCAGGUCCUUUGUGAUUUUGGUUUUCUCAAGCCAUCUGCUCCCCCUCUAACCACAAGAAGAACUUUUAGUUUCCCAAACUACCCACGGCUGAAUUCACAAGGUUUGGAGGGACAGAAGUGACCCAUUUGUCAGCAACUGCUGGCUUUCUAGAUAGCUCUUUGAUGAUCCCUUGAUUCCCACUGUCUUAUAUGAACACUGCAGAGAUACUGACCAUUUCUCAUUCCUACAGCUCACUUUGUGCCUUGGGCAAGUUACUUCUCCUCCCUGAGUCUUUCUACUCAUCUGUAGUAAGGGAAUAAUGAUACGUACUUUGUGGGUCAUUAUGGAGAUUAAAUAUAUGUAAAGUUCUGCUUGUACUACCUAGUACAGAGUAAGCCAAUAUUUGAUGCCUAUUAUUAUAAUUAUUUGCCUUAAACUUAUCUGACUACUUAAGUAAAUGAAGGAGGUGCCAUUAUAAUGAAACGGUUACAAAUGAAUAACCCUGUUCUAUGGGCCUCCAGGCGAACUUGUCCUUUGGGUCAGAAUGGCCAGGCUGUCCCUGUGGGAAGUCUCUUCCCAGCUUCCUUAGUGCCUGCAGGAGUGACCCCCGGGGCGUGUGUCAGAGGUGAUAUGCCUUGGUGAUGCCAUACUCACCGUGUGGACGAAGACUGGGAUUUCAAUGUCAGCCCCACCAUUUAUUAGCUUGGGACUGUGACAGUGAACACUAUUCAAUCUCAGUUUCUUCAUCUGUAAAUUGGAGAUCGAUUAUAAUAGUAUCCCCAGUAGCUCUUGCAAGGAUUGAAUGAGACAGUGUCAUCAAACACGCAGUGGGAUUCAGUAAACUCUCACUAGUCAGCUUGCUAGCCCAGUCCAGGUGGUGGUCAGAAGGAUCAAAGGCAUGUGGAUUUGCUCUCCUUUCCGUCCUGACAGUUGUAUCCCAGCCCUUGGGGUCAAGACAACCUCACCAUAGCUUUUUACUGUUUUUAAUAUUAAGACAUUCUUAUAUUGAAUCUGCUUAAAUUAGAAUUCCCCUCAGGUGCCUGGGUGGCUCGGUUGGUUACGCGUCCGACUUUGGCUCAGGUCAUGAUCUCGCGGUUCGUGGGUUCAUGCCCUGUAUCGGGCUCUGAGCUGACAGUUCGGAGCCUGGAGCCUGCUUCGGAUUCUGUGUCUCCCUCUCUCUCUGCCCCUCCCCACUCUCACCGUCUCUCGCUCUCUCAAAAAUAAGUAAACAUAAAAAAAAAUUAAAAACAAAAAAGAAUUCUCCUCUACUUAGUUAUCCAAAGACAAUCAGCCUUACUGGUGUUUACUCACAAGCCUUUGUAAUACAAGCAUUGAGUAGAUGGAUUGGCACAUCAAUAAUCAAAGCGAAGACCUACCGAGGGCUUCUGUGUCAAUCACUUGUGUCAUUUAAUUUUUACAUCAAUGUUUUGAAGUGCUAUUCUCACUCUACAAAUGAAAAAACUGAAGCUCAGAGAGGUAACCUUACCCAGAUGUACAGAGCUAAUAAGUUAUUACAUUAUUACAUUACAUUAGCUAUUACAUUAGCUAAUAAGCUAAUAGACCCUGUAUUUGAAUAUAGAGAAUUUAAAUCCACAACUACUUGUAGUAUGGUAUACAUCCCUCAAAAUGCUUUACCACGUUACAUACCAUAUAUAUAUAAUUUCAACCCAUGUGUGACAGAUCUCUCACUGACAUGCGCCCUGGGGACACCACUCCGGCAGGACCAAGCCCUCCACUUCACCAUUGGAUUGUCCUGAAUCUCUGAACCUGGGCCAAGCUAUGGCCAUUGUUCAUGAAAAUCUUUCCAUGGGAUCGUGCAAAGAAAACAGAGAGGAAAUGCUAAAAACCCAAUAGCAAUCUAGAGCUGACACACUAUAUAGAGGAUGGGCAGUCUGUCAAACUAGAAUCAAACAUUCUAGUUAAAUCAGAGGUUUUAGCAUUUGUGUGGAACAUUAAAUGUCAGUUCCCAAAGAAUAUGCAUAUAAUUUCUAAAACCCAAACUGAGCAUGUUUUCAUCUUUCUUUGGCAAUUCAGAAGCAUGGGUUGUGUCUCCAGGUCAUUAUCAGACACAUUAGUCACCUCAGUAUAAACUACCAGCCAAAAAGGAAAGUGCAAUUUAAAUGGGAUAUAUACCUGGGGCACCUGGGUGGCCCAGUCGGUUAAGCGUCAGACUUCGGCUUAGGUUACGAUCUCACGGUUUGUGAGUUUGAGCCCCACGUCAGGCUCUGUCCUGACAGUUCAAAGCCUGGGGCCUGCUUCGGGUUCUGUGUCUCCCUCUCUCUCUGCCCCCCACCCCUGCUCACACUCUGUCUCUCUCUCCUUCAAAAUAAAUAAACAUUAAAAAAAAUUAAUGGGAUAUACUGGAUUACAGAGAGCAUAUUGUAUUUGACUAUUGGCUGAAAGUGUCCUAAGUUUUCAUUUCCAUAUUUCAUCGUACUUAAUCCGUAAUUCAUGAGAGCCCUCAGCUAAGUGAAAACCAUGUGAAUGUUUAUUUGCCUAGAAUAGUUUACAUCAUGUUCAUUUGUAAAUGUGCUUUUUCUGUUGCCUUAGCCCUUGCAACCUUCCUAGUGUGGAUUGAAGGAUGAGAACUGUGAACACAGAGAUGGGCAAAUGGAAAAGUCACUGGGAUCUGUCCAAAACAUUGGCUUAGGAAUUUAGGGAACAUCAGAAAAAUGCCCCACUUCUCAGGGUCUCCCUUUAUCCUCUACUAACCACAGAGAAACCGCCUCCCUCCCAGCCCUGGGAGUCUUUCUCCACUACUGUAUUCUUUCAGCUUCCUUGAGGUUCAGCUUCAACGUGCCAGGAGACCUUAGUUCUAAGUCAUCACUUUCUCAAUCCCACUGCCCCACGUGAGGUCAUUAGUAAAGCCAUCUCCAGCUCUAACCUGAUCCCUAGUGGGCUGUGUCAGAUGAGGGAGUCAGCACUUUGAGAGCUAAGGCAAUGCUGACCCUCUACAGAUACCUUUGGAGUCUUGGUACGUCUGGGCUGAACAGAGAAAGAUUAUCUAUGGAUUCUACUUUAUGUAUAUAUAUUGUUGGUUCAAAACCUCAGAAGCUUCCCAGGUAAAAUCUGAAACUGGCCCAACACACAGAGGGUAAGGAGAGACCUGAGAAAGAGGCAGGCCACUCCAGAUUGGUAGGUGGCAGUUUUAAUAAGCAGGGAACCUACCAGUCUCCUUGUGGGUGGCCACAAGACAAAUAGAUCUCCACACCACCUGCCACAUCUCAAAAGUUUAUACAGAGACCUUAACUGGGCCCAGUCACAUACACUGUCCAGAUGGUCUUAACAACACAUUGCUCUCUCAAGGCUGCAUCCUUGAAAACAGCUCUGGCUGUAAGAACCAUGGGCAGAAGGUACAUUCCAAAGACAGGGGAGGGUUGAGUAGCCUCCAACUGCCUGGGUCUAGUUCCCUGGUCCUGUCCUCUCCAUGACCUCCUGCAACGUAUUUCCAGUGACUUUAUAAACA